rnacentral:rRNA from 1 species
UACAGAGGGUGCGAGCGUUAAUCGGAGUUACUGGGCGUAAAGGGCGCGUAGGCGGUUGUUUAAGUGAGAUGUGAAAUCCCUGGGCUUAACCUAGGAACUGCAUCUCAUACUGGGCAGCUAGAGUAUUGUAGAGGGUAGUGGAAUUUCCGGUGUAGCGGUGAAAUGCGUAGAGAUCGGAAGGAACACCAGUGGCGAAGGCGGCUACCUGGACAAAUACUGACGCUGAGGCGCGAAAGCGUGGGGAGCAAACGGG